AGCAUACAUAUGUUUUCCAGACGACAUUAGGUCGACGAAUCGAACACCCAACAUAUGUAGAUCCUGAUCUUGCUAAAGAGUUAGCCAAUCUGUUUCCAGAUGAAAGUUUUGACACAGUCUUAGGAACGACUGUAUCAGUGGACAGUUUUUAUGAAGGUCAAGGGCGUAUCGAUGGUGCUUUGUGUGACUUUACAGACGAUGAUCGUGAAACAUUCCUUAAGACUCUCCAAGAAAAAGGCGUAAAAAAUAUAGAAAUGGAAUCCAUUGGUUUGUUUUCUUUUUGUCAUCGAGCCGGUUACAAAGCGGCUAUGAUAAGUGUUGUUCUGGUCAAUCGUUUAGUAUCUGAAGAACCAACAGAAGACGAUGAAGCUAGAAAAGUCUGGGAACAACGACCAUUUUCUAUCGCCUAUCGUUUUAUCAAAUCUCGACUAGAUAAAGCUCAAGGAAUUUCUUGAAAAUAACAAUAUACUGACGUUUUAA